AUUGAACGCUGGCGGCAUGCUUUACACAUGCAAGUCGAACGGUAACAGGCCUUCGGGUGCUGACGAGUGGCGAACGGGUGAGUAAUGCAUCGGAACGUACCCAGAGGUGGGGGAUAACGCAGCGAAAGCUGUGCUAAUACCGCAUGUGAUCUGAGGAUGAAAGCGGGGGACCGAGCAGCAAUGUUUGGCCUCGCGCCUUUGGAGCGGCCGAUGUCGGAUUAGCUAGUUGGUGGGGUAAAGGCCUACCAAGGCGACGAUCCGUAGCUGGUCUGAGAGGACGACCAGCCACACUGGGACUGAGACACGGCCCAGACUCCUACGGGAGGCAGCAGUGGGGAAUUUUGGACAAUGGGCGCAAGCCUGAUCCAGCAAUGCCGCGUGCGGGAAGAAGGCCUUCGGGUUGUAAACCGCUUUUGGCAGGAACGAAACGGUGUCCGCUAAUACCGGGCGCUAAUGACGGUACCUGCAGAAUAAGCACCGGCUAACUACGCG
rnacentral:rRNA from 1 species